AAAUAAUACCAUGUGAAGACUGGAGCUGUGCUUCAAGAAGCCAGGGAACUACCAGAAACUAGGAGAGAGAUCUGGAACCAAUUGUUUCCUAGUGUUUUCAGAGGGGGCACAGCUCUGCUCUCACCUUGAUUUCAAACUUCUAGUUGCCAGAACUGGGGGACAACAAAUUUCUGUUGUUUACGCCAUCCAGGUUGCUGGGUUUGGCAGUUGUAGCAAACUAAUAUGGGGGCAUUUGGGAGGAUUGUGUGAGAUACUAUAUCUAAAAGCACAUAGCACAAUGUAAGCAAUCUACUAGAGAUUUCUCAGUAAGUAUUAGAUUUUUAUUUAAAAAAAACAACAACAACAGUGAUCCUGUACACUGCCUCUUUAAGUAGGGAUGAAAUCUGAGAAGUAGGAAAAGGACCAAAGCAGGACAUUGCACCCAGUAGACUCAGAGAGGCCGAGCAGUAGCGUUGGUGCACGCCAGGCCUGCUUGGCCCCGGCUGGAGGCUAAGAAACAGUGGACAGAUGGUCAUCGUUUCAGGUCGCCCUGAUCUGGACAAGAACCAAAUGAGGGAUCCAGAGGCAGUGGUGUGUUCAGCUCUGAUGUAGCUUUCCUUCUCUCUAAAGCCCUCUGCAGAGGCCUCAGUUGCCUUCCAUGAAUUCUCUCAGUCCUUCCUGGUCAUAAGCAUCCCUGUCACAGGGACCAGAAUCCAUUAUCAGGCUCCUGAUCUCCUCAGACCUUCAAAACUGCCUUCAUGAAUGUGUGUGUUUAAGGUUCAUUAAAUUACCGGGAAGGUCUGCAGCUUCACUCCUGAAGUCAGCGAGACCACGAAUCCACCAGAAGGAAUAAACUCCAGACACAUCUGAACAUCUGAAGGAACAAACUCCGGACACACCAUCUUUAAUAACUGUAACACUCACUGCGAGGGUCCGCGGCUUCAUUCUUGAAGUCAGUGAGACCAAGAACCUACCAAUUCCAGACACACCUUCACCAUAAACAUCUAUACACCAGGAAUGCAUAACCUUCUGAGAAUGCACCCCAGCAAGUCCCAGCCUCGUUUUCCUCGCCCUCAUUCCAAAUGGAGUUGCUCUAGUGCAAAUGCUUCUGACAAUAUCAUCAAAAGGAACACAGCAAUUUCAGUUGUAACUUAACUAUCUCAAGCUAGCAGUGAGAUAGUUCAGUUCACAUUGUGUUGGACAGAUGUGUUUACCUUAAACAUUUAAAAUAUCUCAAAAAUGCCCCUUUGAGUUCCUCAGGGUGCCCCCAGGCACCUCAGUGCAUGGUUUGGGAACUGAGGUAGUAAACUAAUGCUCAAAGCUUGGAAGCAACUUUCUAUCAUAGCUUUAAAACUUUAAUAAGCCCUUGAGUGAUCUGGGGUCUUGUUUUAAUGUGGAUUCUAAUUCAGGAGGUCUGGGGUAGAAUGCCUGAGAUGUUGUUUUUCUAACAAGCUCCUGAGCAUGGAGGAUGCUGCCAGUUGAUGGACCAGCAAGGCUUUACAAGAUCUAGUCAGGAGAGGUGGGCCAGGUAACAUAACAAUCCAGGUCUCCAAAGCUCUUUUCUAGAACUGUGCUACUUCCCAUAUAAUAAACUGUAGGGAAAAUUUUUAAAUUCUGUUAGUGGACUUCCAGUUCCCAUUUGGCAUAUAAAGAAGCUUGGAAUUGAUCUCUCCCAUCCCUGCAGUAAGAAAAAAAGCUGAACAAACUGAAAACUCUUCAUAGGUCCACCGCAGGAUUUAGGCAACAGGACAAGCUACUGCCCUCCAAAAUUAGAGAGACAAACAGGUAGAUACAGAGAAUCUCAACUUACCAGAAGAGGGGCUCAGAAGCAGAAACCUCCUGGAGACCAGGAAAUGUCAACGUGUAAUUGACAAAUUACGACUGGGAACAAUUUUGAGAGCUACAACUUGCCUCCUGUACUUCCCAUGAGUGUUUCCUCGUGGAGCCAAACCAGGUUUUCACAAUGAAGAUUAGAGAAAAUCCCCCAGCACUUCUGAGAGGGGAAGGGGAAAAGUAGCCUUUCUUAAAUACACCCAGAGCCUUCUGGUCUUCUUAACGAUGCCCCUCAGGAGAAACUAUUUAACCAGAGCCUAACCUCUGGUGCCUGCCUCUGGAGCUUUCUCUGUCAUUUCUCUCUUGCUGUGACCUUGCCAGAUUCUUGUUGCCACUGGAUCAACCAAUUGUAUUAGUUUUCUAAUUGUUACUGUAACUGAUGACUGCAAAUCUAGAAAUUUUAAACAACAUAGAUUUAUAUCACAGUGUGUAGGUCUGAUGUUUAGUGGGCUCAGCUGAUUUCUCUGCCUGAGUGUCUCAAGGCUGCAACUCCGCUGGAAACAGGGUUUCAUUCCUUUCUGGAAGCUCUGGGGGAGAGUCUACCUGCAAGAGCAUGCAGUUUGUUGGCAGAACUGAGUUCCAUUUGGCUGUAUGAGGUUGUAUGUUCCAUAAGGUCCCCCUUUCUUGCUGAUAGAGGCUGCAGAUUGUUCUCAUUCUAGAGGCUGUCCACAUUCCUUGGCUCAGCUGCCCACAUUCCUUGGCUCAUGGCUCUCUUCUUCCAUCUUCAAAGCCAGCAACAAUGGUCGACUUUGAAUUUCCUCUGGAUUUCCCUUCCCUACCACAUCUCUAACUCUCUUCUCACUCUUCCACUUUUAAGGGCCCAUGUGAUUGCAUUGCAUCCACCUGGAUAGUCCUGGAUGCUCUCCCUGUCCUAAGUUCUAUUACCUUAAAUUUUAUCUGCAAAAUCUCCUUUGCCAUGUGACAAAACAUAUUCAUGGGUUCCAGGAAUUAGGGUAAUUAUUUGGCCCAUUAUACUGACUAUCAACAAAAUCCAGGCAGGAGCUAGAGAAACACUGUUAAAAAUUUUUAAGUAGUUUCAACUGUGACCUACAAAAAUGACUGCUUUCAUGCCAGCAAAACUGGCUACAUAAUUUUCAGGGUCCAGUGAAUUUAAAAUUAUAUUAUUAAAAUAAAUACUAUAAAUAUAUAUUUUCAUAUAUGUGUCUGUGUGUGUUGUGUUUUAAAAUUUUGUGUUUUU
rnacentral:lncRNA from 1 species